rnacentral:tRNA from 1 species
GGCAGGUAAGGGGGGGCCCGUGGAUGGUUUGAAGCCGUCUUUUUCAGUGGAGAGAGCUGAUGCCUGUUU